CUGGUUGUUAAGCGGUUGCCAACACCGAUGUCUCUUGAAUUAGGAUUUUGCCCCGCUUUAUGAAUAAAGCCAACAUCACGUCCAUACAAUGAGUUCUAGUGUCGAAAUAUCAUAGUCUACCUGGAAAACAUCACACAAUCACGCCCAAAAAAAGCAUAAAAGAAAUAAGAAAAAAGACCAAGUGGCCACACACUUAUGAAGCCUGCUGCAAUGGGAGCCGCCAAGCGGUCGCAUCCAUCAUAAGCCCUAGAUGCUCGCUGCCACGCUGCCUAGACACCAGAUGCCAGUGCUGUAAGAAGACAAGAAAUUUAAAAAAAGAGUGAGGGGCCCUUCUAAGAAAGACGCAUCUUAUUAUGUGUCUACAUAGCGUCCAAGCAAAUGCCGCAAACACUAGCCAGAAGAUGUGUCUCCUCCUACUGGUCUGGACAACUCUAGCCUGAAGGAACCGAGAUAGAUCUGGGCCCUCCCAAUCAGGCCCAAGCUAGGACCCCACAGAUGAAACUCCAUAGCGUCCAAGCCAGGGCCGAUGUCCACCUAUUUUUUUCUCUUUGUUCUAACCUUUCCGUAACGUUUUGAUGAACAGAUAUUCACUGAAAUUAAGGGAGGAGUUCUUAACCAUUUGUUAAAACAUCUAGCCACGUUUGUGACUUGCUCCUGUUGAGAGGAAUUAGUAAGUACAUACACAUUGAUAUCUAUUAUGCAACAGUUAAUAAAGUUUAUACUGCUCUAAAGUUUAAUGUAGAUCGUUGUAACCUUUUGAUGAACAUAUACACAUUAAUAAAAAGGUUUAAAAGGAGUAAAAGCAGGUGCGUUGCGCAAUAACUGAAUUUUUUCGCAGAUCGGUUGGUACAAUAUCUGAAUUUUCGUAGGCAGGUUGCAGCAGAAAGAUGAGCACUGAUCCAAGGGUUUUAUGUCUUGAAAGAAAGACAUAUCAAGAGGAAUAUGCUUGCAAGGAGGAGAAGGAAAUACAACAACAACAAAAGGCAGAGUUUAUGUCUUACUCGCAACCAGAUUCCAGGAAACCAAGAUCACACAUAAUGAAGUCUUUUGUACCUUUAUUAUUCAGAUCCUCGUACAGUAAAAACACCUGCUCAAUGGGCGUCUACUGAGCGGAACUUCCUACCGAUGAAACUCCAGUCCCGAUCCCGAGCCGCAUCCCUGCGGUGGUAGCAUCCUCUGCACGUUCCGCUUCUUUCGGAUGGCACGAUAGACGGAGGCCAUCUGCACGCAGGAAGUCUCCAGUUCACGCCCAAGGCAUGGGGCGCUUGCACCGCCAAGUCCUCCUCACCAACUUCCUCGACGGCGGCGGCUGUAGGAGCAUUGUAGGCAGCACCCAACCACUCCUUGCAUCAUCGAGAUCGCCUCCCCUCCCCCUGUACAACAGAGCCAAGAUGGGAACUUGUUUCAAAAGAACAGACGCAAGAGCAACGUGGCAAAGACACUCAACAGAGCCAAGAUGAGCAGACCAAGACGGUGAAACAACGUACCUGCAGAGUCUGCGCCGGCGCUGCAUGAGCGAGGUGCCAGCGUUGCAUGAGAGAGAUGGCACAUGACACGAGUGCUGCCACUAACCGGCGAUGUGCGAAGGCCAUCGAGAUGGGAGCCAGUGAAGCUGGGAGAAGACAACACUGUAUCGCAUUUCUCAUGUAUGACUACAUCGCCACCACACAACUUGAAAUUUACCAUAUAUUUCGGUGCCGGCAGGUUCUAGACCAUUUUUUCAGCUUUCUUCUAAUAUCUCAUCUAAAUUAUGUGGGUGAAUCCUUUCAACUGUGUAGUACUACUCAUCUCAUCAUGAGUGCAG
rnacentral:lncRNA from 1 species